rnacentral:rRNA from 1 species
UACGAAGGGGGCUAGCGUUGCUCGGAAUCACUGGGCGUAAAGGGUGCGUAGGCGGGUUUUUAAGUCAGGGGGGAAAUCCUGGAGCUCAACUCCAGAACUGCCUUUGAUACUGAAGAUCUUGAGUCCGGGAGAGGUGAGUGGAACUGCGAGUGUAGAGGUGAAAUUCGUAGAUAUUCGCAAGAACACCAGUGGCGAAGGCGGCUCACUGGUCCGGUACUGACGCUGAGGUGCGAAAGCGUGGGGAGCAAACAGG